rnacentral:lncRNA from 15 species
CUUUCAGCUAGAAGUAUUUUUACUUUUGAUACUUAAAGUACAUUUUCCUGUUUUGUUGUAUGUGUGUUUGUGUGUGUGUGUGUGUGUGUGUGUGUGUGUGUGUGUGUGUGUGUGUCGCUCCAGGUACGUCCACAACAAGGACUGGGCCAGCGCGCAGCGGGUGGCUGAGGGCCACGAUCCAGAGAGUGUGUCUGAGGUUCUGGUCGGCCAAGCCAAGUUCUGCUUUGAACAGAAAGAUUUCCAGAAGGCUGAAGCCUUCCUGCUCCGAGCCCAGAGACCCGAACUUGCUGUCAAAUAUUACAAAGAUGCAGACAUGUGGAGUGAUGCCAUGCGGAUCUGUAAGGAGUAUAUCCCCAACAAGCUCUCCAUACUUCAAGAGGAGUUCGAGAAAGAGACCUCCAAGAAGGGAGUCCGGUGAGACCAAAAAAAAAAAAAAAGAAACUAGUGGACCAGAUUUCUUUUAAGGCUCAUUUACUUUAUUGUAAUCCAGAGAGCCUUAAAAUGCAGAUUUAACUGAUCUUCCCUCACAUUGCACAGAAAAAACCAGGAAAUCUGUGACGCCUUCCUGCUUAAAUAAAAACAAAAAACAGUCAGUGAAGUUGUAUCUUGUAGCUGCAACAGCAGAUACCAAAAGCCUCGAGUCAUAAUUAUAGAUCAGAAGUUUGGUAUUUGUGUGACAUUUUCUGUUUAGGGGUUCUCUGUUAGAUUCUGUUGACCUGUUACGUUAUUAAGAAACUCCUUAAAAGCCAGAUGGAGACCACAGAAACCCACUAUGAACAUUUCACGUGCUCUCCCCGUUUACCCAGCAGUAUAAUCUAUGCACAAAGAGUCAGUUUGAUGCUUUAUUAAAACACAGCUCGUCUGUUAUCCCAAAUUGAAACUACCGGCGAGGAAUAGCUCGUUAGUUAGCCAGCAGACCAGCAGCGUGCAGCUCUUAUCCUCCUCCCAUCGCUUCUCCCUCUUUAAUGACUCGUGGGAGAAAACAUCAAAAGUUACCAAUGGAAACGAACGAGGAAGAGGGUUAAAGUGAGAAAACACUGAAUUAUUGCUGCAGAGUUUACAGCUCAGGCUCCAGAUAAGUGCAGGGCUUCCCGUUUCUUACAGGCAUCUGCAAACCACCGUCGAAUGCUAGUUUACUAAGAGGUG